rnacentral:misc_RNA from 1 species
GCGAGUAUGGCCCUCACGGGUCUAAUCCACCAUAAACACCUUUGUGAACCAGUCAGGGGGACCCGGCCGUGAAAGCCCAGGCGAUUAGCGGAAGGGCCCUCCUUUGCAAACCCGUUUAGAAGUCUUGAAAGUACUUUUGUAUAAUCUAGUA